UACAGAGGUCUCAAGCGUUGUUCGGAUUCAUUGGGCGUAAAGGGUGUGUAGGUGGCGCGCUAAGUCGGGUGUGAAAUUUCGGAGCUUAACUCCGAAACUGCAUUCGAUACUGGCGUGCUUGAGGACUGGAGAGGAGACUGGAAUUCAUGGUGUAGCGGUGAAAUGCGCAGAUAUCAGGAGGAACACCGGUGGCGAAGGCGGGUCUCUGGGCCGUAACUGACGCUGAGGAGCGAAAGCAUGGGGAGCGAACAGG
rnacentral:rRNA from 1 species